AAUCCAUGGUGAGGGCAUUUUCUGCCGUAGUCAUUGAAACGCUCUCACGCAUCGUUCAUCAGUGAGUUGUCUGAAGGAGGAAAUCUUAUUCCUCAAUGC
rfam:Brassica oleracea var. oleracea cultivar TO1000 chromosome C6, whole genome shotgun sequence